rnacentral:rRNA from 1 species
UACAGAGGUCCCGAGCGUUGUUCGGAUUCACUGGGCGUAAAGGGUGCGUAGGUGGUGAGGUAAGUCGGAUGUGAAAUCUCCGGGCUCAACCCGGGAAGUGCAUUCGAAACUGCCAGGCUAGAGUGUCGGAGAGGUUGGUGGAAUUCUCGGUGUAGAGGUGAAAUUCGUAGAUAUCGAGAGGAACACCGGUGGCGAAGGCGGCCAACUGGACGAACACUGACGCUGAGACUCGAAAGCGUGGGGAGCAAACAGG